UCUUUCUUCUCCGUUAAGAGAAACCUCUCUCACUCUUCAUUUCAUUCACUUUCCGACGAACAAAAACAACAUCUGAAAAAAAUCAUGAAUCCAGAUUCCGAUCAUCCUCAGCUUCCAAACAUCAAGAUCCAUCACCCUCCUUCUCCACGUCACUCUCACCACCACCACUCCUCUUCCACUCCCUCCUCCGCCGCAACUCCAACUCCAACUGCCGGAGCUCGUCGUAAAAUCGGAGUCGCCGUUGAUCUCUCUGAAGAAAGUUCUUUCGCUGUCCGUUGGGCUGUAGAUCACUACAUCCGUCCCGGAGACGCCGUUGUUCUUCUCCAUGUUUCUCCAACCUCCGUCCUCUUCGGUGCCGAUUGGGGACCUCUCCCUCUGAAAACUCAACCUUCUGUUGAAGAUCCAAACGCUCAAUCUCAGCCUAGUCAAGAAGAUUUUGAUGCUUUUACUUCAACAAAAGUUGCGGAUCUAGCUAAGCCGUUGAAGGAAUUAGGGUUUCCUUAUAAGAUCCAUAUAGUGAAAGAUCAUGAUAUGAGGGAGAGAUUAUGUCUUGAGAUUGAGAGGCUUGGUCUUAGUGCUGUGAUUAUGGGAAGUAGAGGUUUUGGUGCUGAGAAAAGAGGAAGUGAUGGCAAGCUUGGCUCUGUUAGUGAUUACUGUGUUCAUCACUGUGUUUGUCCCGUUGUUGUGGUUAGAUAUCCUGAUGAUCGUGAUGGACCUGUUCCUGUUGUUACUGUCAAGUCUGGUGGAGAUGAUGAUGAAGAUGUUGUUGCUGCUUCUGCUUCUGCUCAUCAUGAACACAUCAAAGUAAGAUAAUCACUGGUGUUAGUUCUAGAACGUUUGGCAUACGUUACAAGAUUGGAGCUGCCUAGUGAAUCUGUCAAAAGAUUCUGAUUGUAUACUGAUAAGAUGAGUGAUGAUUCUUGGGAUCUCGUCAGGUUCACCCUCUUCGCAUCAUCUAGGUACACAAAUCAAGUAGCGGUGUUAGAGGAAUGUUCAGAGGAGUGUUUGAGUGUGUGGUCUAUCUUCAGUCACAAUGUUGAUGAAUUUCUUUGGGUUAUGUAAUGGUUUCUGCAUUAAACAUGAAGGAGUUUGUAUGAUUACUGAAUCCCUUUUAAGGAAGAAGAAGGAUUAUGAUUUUCUUUAAUAAAGACGGGUAGUGUAGGUUUGUUCUAUUGUGUGAGUGUGUGAAUCUUGAGUCUGUUUAGAUUUUAGUUAAUGUGAAAAUCAAAUAAAGAUUUGGUUGAUUUAUGGUUUUGA